GCUUCAUAAUGGGAACUAACAUUUUCUGGAACUUCACGACUUAAAAAGUAAAUUCAUGUAUGCCAUUUCAUCUCUGAGAGAUUCAAUGACCAUGUUUGAUGACAAGCCAGAUGGCAGCCGUUCUCCAGACCCGGUGCCAAGAAGCGUGACAGGAGCCGCAAUUUACCUUGCGCGGUGGAGGCCGGCUACAGAAGCGCCCCCGCAGCUGCGGGCCAGCAGGGCUGCUGCCGGUAGGUGCGCCCGCCCGCUUGGUUCCCUCCCAAUUUGGAUGGAGCAGGUAAACAAUACCAUGGGAAGGGGAAGUUUGGAAAGACGGAGCAAACAUAACCAAUCCGUCGACUGUUCCAGGAAGAAAUGUUUUUGUGGUAGAGUCCAUUAGGGAUUCAAUAGAGGCAAGUAACCACAAGAAACCAACCAGCCCCCCUCCCCUAAAGGUGGCAUUCAGUACUGACCUACUAAAAAGAUAAACACCAAACACAUUUGUUAUCCCAGAGGCUGGGGCUUGCCCUGUACUAAAACAAUCUGGAAACUGUGGGCACCAGCCUCCUAUCUUGUGCUACCUCUAUGACAACAUCGGU
rnacentral:lncRNA from 1 species